rnacentral:misc_RNA from 1 species
UACGGAGGGUGCAAGCGUUGUCCGGAAUUAUUGGGCGUAAAGCGCACGUAGGCGGACUGGAAAGUUGGGGGUGAAAUCCCGGGGCUCAACCUCGGAACUGCCUUUGAUACUGCCGGUCUAGAGUCUGUGAGAGGGUGGCGGAAUACCCAGUGUAGAGGUGAAAUUCGUAGAUAUUGGGUAGAACACCAGUGGCGAAGGCGGCCACCUGGCGCAGAACUGACGCUGAGGCGCGAAAGCGUGGGUAGCGAACAGG